CUCAAAAAAACGAUUCCUGGCAAUAUUAGCUUUUAAGUAUUUGGAUCAUUUAGAUUUUAUUUAAAUACUCGUUUUUUAAAAUAUAUGUAAUCCGAUUUAUUAGAAUAUAUAUAAAUCUGUUCAAUUUAAAAAGUAUUAGAUUUAAUCAGUUAAAAUGUAUAAAUAUGAAUUAAAUAAAUCUAGCCGUGAAACAAACCGGAUAAAUUCUAUGAGAUUGGUUUACAUACAAAUUUCAGGAAACUGACUUUAGUAGAAGCGGAAAUGACGUCUAUUCACACUCCAGUCAGGAGGUGGCGCCAAAAUCAAAAAUAGACGCUACAGCACAUGGACUUCGCCAUUUUGCAUUGGACUGGAUCGUCAUCUCACUAGUCUACAAUCGCCAAAUUGUAGAUACAGCGUCAUUUCAUCGUCUAUAUGGUGGGACAACCUGCUAGACAGGUUGAAGACAUCUGUAUCUACCUCAAAGAAGGCAUGGAGAGACACAUUAAAGAAUAUGUGAAUUGUGAAAUUGGUGAGUUGGGGAUUGCACAGACAGUGGAAGUUCUGCAAAACCUACUUGGUGUCACACAUGGGUGUGAAAUUACUUUUUGGACUCAUUUAUGCACUUAAACUGAACUACCAGAAGAACAUCAGGUGCACCUUUGACCUUUCAAAAAAUCCUAAUGGAACUGGACUUGAUACAACCAAGCAAUCACUGAAAGAUGCUUCAGUGAAUACCUGACAGACACGCUGAUGCAUCCCCCUCAAAGUGGGUACAUUUUUGUACAUUUACAAGUGAACUUUUUAACAUUAAAGGAUUAUUGCACUUUCAUUAAACAAAAAUCCUGAUAAUUUACUGUCUGUCAUCGAAAAUGCUUGUCUUUUUUGUUCAGUCGAGAAGAAAUUGUUUUUUUGAGAAAAACAUUCCAGGAUUUUUCUUAAUUUAAUAGACCUUAUUGGACCUCAACAGUUAAGUUUCAAAGCAGCUUUAAAGGGCUCUAAACGAUCCCAAUCGAGGCAUAAGGGUUUUAUCUAUUCAAAAGAUUAUCAUUUUUGGCAAGAAAACUUUUAAAACGCAACAACUUGUCUUGCAUUAUCCAUGUGAUACACAGUGUGACAUUGUGUACUACGUAAUAACGUUGAAGUUUACACAUCACAAAUGUGAAACGCACAUUUGUGGACCAUUUUAAAUAAUAAACGGACCCAAACACAUUAAGUAGUAUCAUUUCGCAUACAACAACAUCUGAACACUCCUCUUUCUCCUCGCUUGUAAACGCUGGAGCGGUAGUUUAAAUUAUGUCAUGCUAGCGUGUCACACAGCUAGUGAAAAUUUGUUGUGAGUUAAAAGUCCUCUUUUAUUUUUAUUUUUGAAAAUGACAAUCAUUUAGCUAGAUAAGACCCUUAUGCCUUAUUCGGUAUAAUUUAGAGCCCUUUUAAAUCUGCAUUGAAACUGUAAACUUGAGGUCAAAUAGUCUUAAAUUGAGAAAAAUCCUGGAAUCUUUAACUCAAACUUUAUUUCUUCUUGACUGAACAAAGUAAAACAUAAACAUAUGGGGUUAGAAAAUUAUCGGGAUUUUUGUUUUAUUAAAUUGGAAUAUUGCUUUAACAAUUUUAAAAGUUGAAAAGUUUUUGAAAAAUGUAAUUGAUGUAUAUCUAACAUGUAAUUAGAGAUGCAUGAAAAUUGUUAAUGGCACACAGCCACUCAAAACACUAAGCAAUGUGCCAUUUUUUUUUCUUACCACCCAAUCAUUCUAAAUUAUUAUUAUUACAUCAUGUCACAGAUUUCUGAAAAUGUAAUGUUGUUGUCCCUGAUUUAUGUCUACCUCGAGUUUUACAGGGUUUUUUGUAUUUCUGCAGCCUGUUUGCUCAAAAUGUUUGCACUUAUUUGUGGAUUGAGGUUGAUUGUGGCUGAAAUGUCUGAAACACACUUAUUCAUUUAAUUUUUGCACACAUUACGAGGUGUAUAAGCCAUGGCUGUCAUGCUAGUUGUUAGCUGCUCUUUUUUGCUGCCUUAUGAGUAAUGCCUUGAAGUAUUAAAUAAAUUGAUAAAAUGUAAAACCAAGUGGUCUGGCUCUUCUUUUAUUUUUUGUGUUUUUUUGUUAUAGCAUAUUGUGAUUUAGGAGGGUGAAUGGGGGAGGAAUAUAUAAAUGGUUUAGUAAGAUAUCUAAAUGUAAUGCAUUUUAAGUGAAUUGGGUUUAUUAAUAAAGAAUACAUAAUCCAUUUUUUUAAUGCAUUUAAAACACAUUGGAUUAAGUAAAACUAUUACAUAAAUUUUAUUGGUUUCAUUUACAUAUAUCUAAAAAAUAUCUAUCAUAUAAAGUUUAUUUGUUUUUUUUAGAUUAGAAGUAUGUAAUCCAAAUGGAUGGAAAUGUUACAUGUAAUCAAAAUACAUAAAUCUUAUGAAUUAGGCCUAAAUAUUUUUUUGAGUG